UACGAAGGGGGCUAGCGUUGCUCGGAAUCACUGGGCGUAAAGCGCACGUAGGCGGAUUGCUAAGUCAGGGGUGAAAUCCUGGAGCUCAUCUCCAGAACUGCCUUUGAUACUGGCGAUCUCGAGUCCGGGAGAGGUGAGUGGAACUGCGAGUGUUGAGGUGAAAUUCGUAGAUAUUCGCAAGAACACCAGUGGCGAAGGCGGCUCACUGGCCCGGUACUGACGCUGAGGUGCGAAAGCGUGGGGAGCAAACAGG
rnacentral:rRNA from 1 species